CUUCCUAGAUUCUUCUCCAACUUCCAAGUUUCAACUUAAUUUUGCUGCAACAACAAACAAGAUUCCCCUUAUCCACUCAAUUUUCGCUGUAGAUCAUCACAUUCCCCUUUCUCCACGCUUUUCAAUGGCCUCCAAGUUCGGUUUGGCCGGUGGGUUGCCGGAGCGGCGUGUCCGUCCCAUAUGGGACGCUAUAGAUUCAAGGCAGUUCAAGAACGCUCUCAAAGCUGUAAAAACUCUUCUUUCUAAGUAUCUGAAUGCGCCUUACGCUCUGGUAACAAAAUACAACCCUUCCUUUUCUGUACCUGAUUCUGAAUCCCUUUGGUUUCAACUUCUUUGUAUCUUAAUGGUUAUUUCUUGCUUUCUUGUUUCACAUUUCUCGAUAGCUUUAAGCGUAUUCAGCGGUUUUAUCCUUUCUUUUUUGUUUCAAAAUACGUACGUUAGAUUACGUCUACGGCUUAGGAAGCUACUUAAUGUUACUCACGAUUUUCUUUACUAAGUCAAGUCUCUCUUCUCUUCUCAAUCUUGCGUCACCCUCAAACCCUAGAUCCAUUCACCUACAACUGCUGCAAGAAAUCCCUCAGAAUCAAUUUCACUCCUCAACCUCUUCCAUGCUCUUCAGAUCUCCUCACCGAGAAAGAGAAUUUUACAGAAAAAGAAAAAGAAAAAGAAAAUGUAUCGAUCAGUGAGUUGGAACUGAUUCUCCAACGAAUAUUACUCUCAUUCAGCCCCGUCCUCCAAGCCAGGGCAGUCAUGCGACUAUCUUCGUCGUUUGAUCUAGGGAAUAAUGAACUUCCAAUGAACGAUUCGAUGGCGGAAAUGGUGAAGCGAGAGAAAGCGCGAGUGAAGUUUGCGUAUCCUGCUGUUCAUGUGAUUCCAUUCGUUUUGCUAAUCUAUGCCAUUAUUAUUAUGUGGUUCUUCUCCAUUUCAGGUAGGAAAUUGGUUCAGUGCCUUGCUGGCUUAAGAAGUAAUUAACUAUUGUUGUGAAAUGUAGUGGAGGCCUUUGGUUGUGUUUUCAGCAUUAUGUACUGAUAGCCCUCUUUCUGUGGUUCCAUGUAUUAUACUUUCACUAGACUUGUUCUGUAUCAUCUUGGAUUUCUAAUGGUAAUGCAAUAAAUAGCCUUUUGCUCUUCAAUCUUA